rnacentral:rRNA from 1 species
UGAGGAAUAUUGGACAAUGGCCGGAAGGCUGAUCCAGCCAUGCCGCGUGCGGGAAGACGGCCCUAUGGGUUGUAAACCGCUUUUGCGAGGGAGCAAUAAGGUCCACGAGUGGGUCGAUGAGAGUACCUCGCGAAUAAGCAUCGGCUAACUCCGUGCCAGCAGCCGCGGUAAUACGGAGGAUGCGAGCGUUAUCCGGAUUCAUUGGGUUUAAAGGGUGCGCAGGCGGCCGGGCAAGUCAGCGGUGAAAUUCAGGGGCCCAACCCCGGAAGUGCCGUUGAUACUGCUUGGCUGGAAUGCGGUCGAGGCGGGCGGAAUGUGGUGUGUAGCGGUGAAAUGCAUAGAUAUGCCACAGAACGCCGAUAGCGAAGGCAGCUCGCCAGGCCUGCAUUGACGCUCGGGCACGAAAGCGCGGGGAUCGAACA